UUGAAUGCCCUUCUUUACUAUACUAUAACAUUAACACACUUUCCAAAUGAUAUAUCUCUCCCUCAACUUUUAAAAAAAACACCUCCAUAUAACCACCAUAAUACCUCCUUCAUUUUCACCACAAAAACCAUAUGCACCACCUUUCUUCAACCCACUCAUCCAACAACUCACCACGGAUCUGACGACAAACACGAAACCGGUCACCACCAUUGUUUCCGCACCUCCGCCAUAGUAAUCUUCUCUCCCCUAUUUUUGUUAGAAGUUUUAUUUAAUCUUGAAAUUAGGAUGAGAUAGGUUUCGAUUCACAUAUAACGAUGUUGAUUUUGUUCUUGAUUUUUUUUCUAUCCGAAAUCGGUGUCAACAAUGGAAGGGAUUGGGUUUGUUUUAAAUUUGAAUGGUUUGUUUGCUUUGAUUUGAUUAAAUAAAUUUAGAUAUUAUUCUUGUACCAUUUGUUUCGUUGAUUGAUGAGAAGAACAAAGAGAAACUGAUUAAGAGAGUAAUAAAGAGAAGAAGAAAGCAAAUUUGAGAGACUGAGGAGAAGACUUUUUUUUUACGUUUGUGCAACUGAUUUUUUUUUUUUUUUACAUUUUCUUAAAAAUAAAAG
rnacentral:lncRNA from 1 species